UGCAAGUCGAGCGCACUGGCCCAACUGAUAUGACGUGCUUGCACUGAAUUGACGUUGGAUUCCCAGUGAGCGGCGGACGGGUGAGUAACACGUGGGCAACCUGCCCUGAAGCGGGGGAUAACAUCUGGAAACAGGUGCUAAUACCGCAUAACAACGAAAACCACAUGGUUUUCGUUUCAAAGAUGGUUUCGGCUAUCACUUCAGGAUGGGCCCGCGGUGCAUUAGCUAGUUGGUAAGGUAACGGCUUACCAAGGCGAUGAUGCAUAGCCGAGUUGAGAGACUGAUCGGCCACAAUGGAACUGAGACACGGUCCAUACUCCUACGGGAGGCAGCAGUAGGGAAUCUUCCACAAUGGGCGCAAGCCUGAUGGAGCAACACCGCGUGAGUGAAGAAGGGUUUCGGCUCGUAAAGCUCUGUUGUUGGAGAAGAACGUGCGUGAGAGUAACUGUUCACGCAGUGACGGUAUCCAACCAGAAAGUCACGGCUAACUACGUGCCAGCAGCCGCGGUAAUACGUAGGUGGCAAGCGUUAUCCGGAUUUAUUGGGCGUAAAGCGAGCGCAGGCGGUUGCUUAGGUCUGAUGUGAAAGCCUUCGGCUUAACCGAAGAAGUGCAUCGGAAACCGGGCGACUUGAGUGCAGAAGAGGACAGUGGAACUCCAUGUGUAGCGGUGGAAUGCGUAGAUAUAUGGAAGAACACCAGUGGCGAAGGCGGCUGUCUGGUCUGCAACUGACGCUGAGGCUCGAAAGCAUGGGUAGCGAACAGGAUUAGAUACCCUGGUAGUCCAUGCCGUAAACGAUGAGUGCUAGGUGUUGGAGGGUUUCCGCCCUUCAGUGCCGGAGCUAACGCAUUAAGCACUCCGCCU
rnacentral:rRNA from 1 species